UACGAGGGGGGCGAGCGUUGUUCGGAAUUAUUGGGCGUAAAGAGCUCGUAGGCGGUUUGUCGCGUCGGCUGUGAAAACUCGGGGCUUAACCCCGAGCCUGCAGUGGAUACGGGCAGACUAGAGGUAGGUAGGGGAGAGUGGAAUUCCUGGUGUAGCGGUGAAAUGCGCAGAUAUCAGGAGGAACACCGGUGGCGAAGGCGGUUCUCUGGGCCUUACCUGACACUGAGGAGCGAAAGCGUGGGGAGCGAACAGG
rnacentral:rRNA from 1 species